rnacentral:tRNA from 1 species
UCCCUGGUAGUCUAGUGGUUAAGACUCUGUGCUUCCACUGCAGGGGCAUAAGGUCAAUCCUUGGUUGGGGAA